rnacentral:rRNA from 1 species
GACGAACGCUGGCGGCGUGCCUAAUACAUGCAAGUCGAACGCUUCUUUCCUCCCGAGUGCUUGCCCUCAAUUGGAAAGAGGAGUGGCGGACGGGUGAGUAACACGUGGGUAACCUACCCAUCAGAGGGGGAUAACACUUGGAAACAGGUGCUAAUACCGCAUAACAGUUUAUGCCGCAUGGCAUAAGAGUGAAAGGCGCUUUCGGGUGUCGUUGAUGGAUGGACCCGCGGUGCAUUAGCUAGUUGGUGAGGUAACGGCUCACCAAGGCCACGAUGCAUAGCCGACCUGAGAGGGUGAUCGGCCACACUGGGACUGAGACACGGCCCAGACUCCUACGGGAGGCAGCAGUAGGGAAUCUUCGGCAAUGGACGAAAGUCUGACCGAGCAACGCCGCGUGAGUGAAGAAGGUUUUCGGAUCGUAAAACUCUGUUGUUAGAGAAGAACAAGGACGUUAGUAACUGAACGUCCCCUGACGGUAUCUAAACAGAAAGCCACGGCUAACUACGUG